rnacentral:ncRNA from 1 species
UUAAUUGCAGAUUUUAGUGAUAAUAAAAAAAGACAGAAAUUAAGUUGAUCGUGAUAAAUAAUACCAGGGAACUCAACCGACGUGGAUACUGGGGAUUUAACAGAUUGAUAGGUCUUUCUUGAUUUGGUGGAUGGCAGUGUCUGGCGAUUAUCAUAGUCUGGAGCGACUUGUCUUGUUAACUCCGCCACUAACAAAUGAAACUUAAGCUUAUUAAAUAGUAGAUAGGUCCUCUGUAUUCAUUUAGGGUACAGGUUCUAUUGCUUCUUUAUGCUAUUGUGUGUUGGUUAUCCAGUGGGUAAGGUGUGAGUUAUUACUUACUUCUUAUCAGGGCAGACGGUACACUUAAGUCGUACAAAAUUGAGCAGUGACAGUGCAGUGAUGCCUUCGGGAAUAUGUGCGCGAGUGUGGGAAAGUGAUCGGGAUUUGCUAUUCUUCCCUGUAAACGAGGAAUUCUUUGUAAGUGCGGGCCAUGGGCUGGUGUUGAUAACGUGCCUACCUUUCUAUACAUACUGCUUGUUGCUACUACAGACUGAGUGUUUUAGUGAAGCCAUCAAAUAGCGACAUUGGUCAGGUGAAGAAUCAUGAGCUGAUUGAACUAUAAUUC